UACGUAGGGGGCAAGCGUUGUCCGGAAUUAUUGGGCGUAAAGAGCGUGUAGGCGGUCCGGUAAGUCGGCUGUGAAAGUCCAGGGCUCAACCCUGGGAUGCCGGUCGAUACUGCCGGUCUAGAGUUCGGAAGAGGCGAGUGGAAUUCCCGGUGUAGUGGUGAAAUGCGUAGAUAUCUGGAGGAACACCGGUGGCGAAGGCGGCAUCCUGGACCAACACUGACGCUGAGGAGCGAAAGCCAGGGGAGCAAACGGG
rnacentral:rRNA from 1 species